UACGGGGGGGGCAAGCGUUGUUCGGAAUUACUGGGCGUAAAGGGCGCGUAGGCGGCUUCUCAAGUCGGGCGUGAAAUCUCCGGGCUUAACCUGGAAAAGUCGUUCGAUACUGUCGAGCUAGAGUGUGGAAGAGGCUACUGGAAUUCCGUGUGUAGCGGUGAAAUGCGUAGAUAUCGAGAGGAACAUCGGUGGCGAAGGCGGCCUUCUGGACGGUGACUGACGCUGAGACGCGAAAGCGUGGGGAGCAAACAGG
rnacentral:rRNA from 1 species